GUGGCUGUAGUUCAGUUGGUUAGAACAUUGGGUUGUGGUUCCAAAGGUCGUCGGUUCGAUCCCGAUCAGCCACCC
rnacentral:tRNA from 1 species